ACACUACUACUACUGCUACUACUAAAAUUGGAACGAUACAGAGACGAUUAGCAUGGUCACUUGUGCAAAGAUGACUACUACUACUACUACUACUACUAAUAAUAA